UCGUCCUCGCUGCAGCAAGCG
rnacentral:misc_RNA from 1 species